rnacentral:RNase_P_RNA from 1 species
CGAGUCGGCAGGGCGGCCGCGGCGGCGGAGUGAUCCUCCCCGUCGAGGAAAGUCCGGACUCCGUAGGGCAGGGUGGUUGCUAACGGCAACCCGGGGUAACUCGCGGGAAAGUGCCACAGAAAACAGACCGCCCGCCGAGCACGCGUGUUCGGCGGGUAAGGGUGAAACGGUGGUGUAAGAGACCACCAGCAUCCCGGGUGACCGGGAUGGCUCGGUAAACCCCACCCGGAGCAAGGCCAAAAGGAAGUACAACUUCUGCGCGAGCGGUUGAGGGCGGCCCGUCCGAUGCUCGCGGGUAGGCCGCUGGAGCCUGCCGGCAACGGUAGGCCUAGAUGGAUGGCCGUCCCCCGGGCGACCGCUGGUCGAUCGGGGACAGGAUCCGGCUUAUAUGCCGGCUCGUCCG